rnacentral:tRNA from 1 species
GCGGGGGUAGCUCAGUUGGUAGAGCAACGGACAAUUAGUUUGUGCUUUGUAAAAGCGCGUACAGCAACCUAAAAUGGGCAAUCUGUUUGUCGGAGGUUCGAGUCCUCCCUUCCGCU